AGUGAACGCUGGCGGUAGGCCUAACACAUGCAAGUCGAACGGCAGCACAGUAAGAGCUUGCUCUUACGGGUGGCGAGUGGCGGACGGGUGAGGAAUACAUCGGAAUCUACUUUUUCGUGGGGGAUAACGUAGGGAAACUUACGCUAAUACCGCAUACGACCUACGGGUGAAAGCAGGGGAUCUUCGGACCUUGCGCGAUUGAAUGAGCCGAUGUGGGAUUAGCUAGUUGGCGGGGUAAAGGCCCACCAAGGCGACGAUCCGUAGCUGGUCUGAGAGGAUGAUCAGCCACACUGGAACGGAGACACGGACCAGACUCCUACGGGAGGCAGCAGUGGGGAAUAUUGGACAAUGGGCGCAAGCCUGAUCCAGCCAUACCGCGUGGGUGAAGAAGGCCUUCGGGUUGUAAAGCCCUUUUGUUGGGAAAGAAAAGCAGCAGGUUAAUACCCCGCUGUUCUGACGGUACCCAAAGAAUAAGCACCGGCUAACUUCGUG
rnacentral:rRNA from 1 species